CUAGGUUAUCCAACUAAUACUACCGUGUUGCUGUGAGAUGUUGGAGAAAAACAAGCAAGCUUGCUAUGUCCUUGCGAGAUGCACGGAGGACACCAUGGUGGCCAUUGAGGCAAACAUCGUUCCUUCCGCUCCGCACGGCCGAUGGAUCCGUUGUUGACUUUGUGACGAGGGAAAUACUUCCUUGACAGUAGUAGCAGGUUUUGAGGACAGGAACAAGUGU
rnacentral:lncRNA from 1 species